GUGGGACAGUCUUCAUGACAGAGAAUUUUGGUAGUUUCAUCAGAAAAUGAUAUUUUAGGACCACCAAGAAGCAUACUCAAAGAAGAACUAUAGCAAAUACACAAGAUACUUGCAUACAUUGUAAAUUGGCAGUUAAGAGAACAUCACAGAUGGAAAGAAAAUCAACGGUAAAACUUACUUGAUCAGCAAGAAAAAUACAUACUGGCUACCAGGGUUUCUUUCCCUCAGCUUAGAGGAUUAUUUUGGAAGUAUUCCUGAGCGUUCAUCUUCCAACACAUGGGACAUUGAAAAGGACCAGAAAUUCAAUGUACAUAUGAUUCAAAGAGGAAAUACUGCACAACUAGCACUUUGAAGAGACAUUCGGUUUGACAUUCAUUAAACAGCCUCCAGGCUUUAUUUAUAAUGCAAAAGAUAUUUUAAGAAUGUUCUUCUUUAUUCUCAGCAUGCUGUCACCCUAUCUACCAAGGUUGUUCUUCACCAACCAAGAUCUUCCCAUCUUGCAGCUGAAGAUUUAUCUAUUUGUGGCCCUCCUGAUAUCCUGCCAUUUCCACUUCUCAUUCAUGUCUGUGGAAGUGCAUGCCCUUGCCUUGUUAUAGAAGUACCUGAUAGACCUAACAGUGAUUGAUCUUCAAGAUGUUCAAGAACAAAGAUUCUUCACAUCUGCACCUCUUCAAAACGCAACAGCUGAGGAAAAGGUUUCAGAAAUUUCCACCCAUAGUAAUUUUCAAAAAUAAGAUUAAGCCAUCAGUUAUUCCAAAAUAAUACUAGAAAUAGAUUA